AUUGAACGCUGGCGGCAUGCUUUACACAUGCAAGUCGAGCGGCAGCGCGGGGCAACCUGGCGGCGAGCGGCGAACGGGUGAGUAAUGCAUCGGAACGUACCCCGUAGUGGGGGAUAACGCCGGGAAACCGGCGCUAAUACCGCAUAUGCUCUACGGAGGAAAGUGGGGGCCGCCAAGGCCUCACGCAAGGGGAGCGGCGGAUGUCGGAUUAGCUUGUUGGUGGGGUAAUGGCUUACCAAGGCGACGAUCGGUAGCUGGUCUGAGAGGAUGAUCAGCCACACUGGGACUGAGACACGGCCCAGACUCCUACGGGAGGCAGCAGUGGGGAAUUUUGGACAAUGGGGGCAACCCUGAUCCAGCCAUGCCGCGUGCGGGAAGAAGGCCUUCGGGUUGUAAACCGCUUUUAGCUGGGAAGAAAAGGCACGUCUUAAUACGGCGUGUUCUUGACGGUACCGGCGGAAUAAGCACCGGCUAACUACGUGCCAGCCGCCGCCGUAA
rnacentral:rRNA from 1 species